CUCCUGGACCUCUGAACCUGCCUCUACCAGAGCAUUUGACAGAAAUUUUAACAGCCUUCUAGAGCAAAAGGGAUCCUCUCCUCCUCCCCAUUCUCUCUAAGUUGGAAGCCCCCUGAGGGCAAGUCACCACACUUUGCAGCCUGUGGGAUCUAUCACAGAGUUCCAGGAACCUGAAGGUCAAUAAACCUGCGUCCCUCCUGGAAAAGAAUGUUCUGCAGCCUCCCUGCCCUGCAGGCUGAACAUGGGGUGACUCUGCAGAGACAGUUUAGAGCCCCACUCUGCUGCCCCAGCCGGCCUUCAGCCUCAGCUGCCGUCUCUCUCUCCAGAAAGGCCGCUGCAGCCCUCUCUGCAUCCCCUCGGUGUCUGCACAUGUCUGUGAAGGGCGGUGCAAAGCAGGGGGCAGUAAAAUGAGGCACGAAUUAACAUUAAAAUAUAUACAAUUCAGUGAGCAGUCUCACUGAGGCUUUGCACAAAGCUCCAAGGGAGCAGGAAAGAAAUCGGAACUUCCCCACCCCAACCCCGGGAUUUUACAGAAAACGUCAUGCGGCUGGUGGCCCUCCAACUGAAGGAUGAGGUCAAGAUGGGACCUGCUCAUCCCCAAACUGCCCACCAGACCUCAGUGUGGCUGGCGUGUCCCACAGCAUCGGUGCACACUCAAUCCAUGCAGAUAACUCAAGGAACAGCAAAACACAGGCCCAGUGGGGUGGAGUCCUGGGAAGCCUGUGGACAACUGCAACACAGCACUGCAGGAUUCAUUCAUUCCUUCAACAAACACCGCUGAACAGCGAUGUUGGGGAAGCAGCCCACGGCUGAUCUAGAGGCUCAACACCGUCACCAAGACCAGGCCCCAUGAGUAGUCCUGCCCCGCCGUCCUCAGAGUGAGGCUCCUGUGCUGGGAUCACAGGAUGGCUGCUGUGCUCCCAGCAUUUCCAGGGGCCAAGAUGGGAGGAAGAAGAUGGACGGCAGAGGAAGGACAGAGGCCAAAGGCACAAGCGAGCAUUGUCAGAUCACCAAAAAGAUUUUUUUGCUUUAAGCCCCACCCCUAGUGACUUCUGAUUCCAUCCAAACACCCAAAAUUGGGUCAUAUGUCCCCCGCUUAGCUAUUAAGGUAUCUGUAGAGUUAGAUACUUUUCAGUAGGUAUUGACAUACAAGGGUGCUCUUAGGAAGUAGAGAAGAAUGAACAUUGACUAAGCAAUUAGCUGUUUCUGCCACAAUGUUGUGAUUUUACUGACUUUUAUUGCUUGUGGUAGAACCUUACAUUGCAUGGACUGGUUCUGGAUUUCUUCUAUUUCACGUACACAGGAAGGAUACUUCCACACUCCCUUGAAGUCAGGCACAACCAGUGCCUGCCUGCAGCUAAUGAAGGGUGGGCAGAAACGAUGUGUGUAGCUCCCAGGCUGAAGUACCUAAUGCAGUGCCUGACUGAGCCCUGCCUUCCCCACCACAGCAAUCAUGGAAAUAAGUGUCAAGUUGGAGCGGUCUUAGAGUGAUAAAUACAAGCCAAGCUCUCCCACAACCCACAGUAGAUGGAGCACUUGAGCAAGAAGCAAACCUUUGUUCUUUUAGCCCCCAGGACUUGGGGCUUGUUUGUUAUCAUCAAACCUGGCCUAUCCUGACUGGUACAAAUUGGCAGUAAUUUCUCCAGUGUCCUCAAUUAAAUUUUACAUCCUGGAAUGACACUGGUUUAGAUGAAAAGAUAAGUAUAGGGGCAUAAGGAGGAAGAAGAUUUGAGGAGUUAAAGUGGCUUUUUGAAGAGGAUACGGAAGAAGAUGAGGACCCCUACUAAGGAAGGUCCCUAUUGAUGGGAAGCAGUUAUCCAUCAUGGAGAAGCUGGGCCCUCCUCCAUCCUAAUAAGCCCUAAUAAACUGAUUUUUACUGUUUGUUUUGAAAUAAUUUUAGACUUACAAAAAUGUCACACCAAUAGUCCAAAGGAUCCUCCCUCGACUUCAUUCAAAGCACAAUCUCCUGCUUUUCCUCCUGCUGAUCAGGAAAUGUCUCUGCUUUCUUGGCAAGCUCAUCCUUCUUUACGUACAGUUGGAAUGUUAGAGCUCCUCAAGGCGGCCCCCAGGCCCCCUUCUCUGUGCCAUCUGCACUCUGUCCUCAGAAGAACUAGUGUGCACCCAGGCCUUUGGUUACCGCACAGCAUGGUAGUGACUCGCAAACAUGUACCUUGAGCCAGACCACUCCUCACAUUUCCAAGCUUUUGUCUGCAUAUUGUCCUUGGUAUAUCUAGUAAUAUCCAAUUGUAUACUUAAUAUUGGCUCUUCUCUGGCUCAAAUGAACCUCACAGUAAAGUCCCAAACAGAACUUAUUCCUUUCCCCAUCUACCCACA
rnacentral:lncRNA from 10 species